rnacentral:ncRNA from 1 species
CAAAGGCUUGGUCCUGACUUUAACAUCAGCUUUAGCCCAAUUUACACAUGCAAGUCUCCGCAGACCCGUGAGAAUGCCCUCAAUCCCCCGCCCGGGGACGAGGAGCAGGUAUCAGGCACAAAUUUUAGCCCAAGACGCCUUGCCAUGCCACACCCCCAAGGGAACUCAGCAGUGAUAAAUAUUAAGCCAUAAGUGAAAGCUUGACUUAGUUAGAGCUAACAGGGCCGGUAAAACUCGUGCCAGCCACCGCGGUUAUACGAGAGGCCCUAGUUGAUGAACACGGCGUAAAGGGUGGUUAAGGUUUAGUUCAAAUAAAGCCAAAAGACCUCUUGGCUGUUAUACGCCCCUGAGUGCCCGAAGCCCAUAUACGAAGGUAGCUUUAAUAUUAGCCCACCUGACCCCACGAAAGCUGAGAAACAAACUGGGAUUAGAUACCCCACUAUGCUCAGCCAUAAACCUAGACGUUACUUCACAUAAACGUCCGCCAGGGUACUACGAGCAUUAGCUUAAAACCCAAAGGACUUGGCGGUGCCUUAGACCCCCCUAGAGGAGCCUGUUCUAGAACCGAUAACCCCCGUUAAACCUCACCACUUCUGGUCAACCCCGCCUAUAUACCGCCGUCGUCAGCUUACCCUAUGAAGGACUAACAGUAAGCAAAAUGAAUAUACUUCAAAACGUCAGGUCGAGGUGUAGCGAACGAAGUGGGAAGAAAUGGGCUACAUUUUCUUUAUAAAGAAACAAGAAUAUUACGAACAACACUAUGAAAUUAGUGCUCGAAGGAGGAUUUAGUAGUAAAAAGGAAAUAGAGUGUCCUUUUGAACCCGGCUCUGAGGCGCGUACACACCGCCCGUCACUCUCCCCGCUAAAUAGCGACAACUGUUAUUAACAUUUAAGCACAAGUAAGGGGAGGCAAGUCGUAACAUGGUAAGUGUACCGGAAGGUGCACUUGGAUCAAAU